rnacentral:rRNA from 1 species
CCUACGGGAGGCAGCAGUGGGGAAUAUUGCACAAUGGGGGAAACCCUGAUGCAGCGACGCCGCGUGGAGGAAGAAGGUCUUCGGAUUGUAAACUCCUGUUGUUGAGGAAGAUAAUGACGGUACUCAACAAGGAAGUGACGGCUAACUACGUGCCAGCAGCCGCGGUAAAACGUAGGUCACAAGCGUUGUCCGGAAUUACUGGGUGUAAAGGGAGCGCAGGCGGGAGAACAAGUUGGAAGUGAAAUCCAUGGGCUCAACCCAUGAACUGCUUUCAAAACUGUUUUUCUUGAGUAGUGCAGAGGUAGGCGGAAUUCCCGGUGUAGCGGUGGAAUGCGUAGAUAUCGGGAGGAACACCAGUGGCGAAGGCGGCCUACUGGGCACCAACUGACGCUGAGGCUCGAAAGUGUGGGUAGCAAACAGGAUUAGAUACCCUGGUAGUCCACACCGUAAACGAUGAUUACUAGGUGUUGGAGGAUUGACCCCUUCAGUGCCGCAGUUAACACAAUAAGUAAUCCACCUGGGGAGUACGACCGCAAGGUUGAAACUCAAAGGAAUUGACGGGGGCCCGCACAAGCAGUGGAGUAUGUGGUUUAAUUCGACGCAACGCGAAGAACCUUACCAAGUCUUGACAUCCCUUGACGAACAUAGAAAUAUGUUUUCUCUUCGGAGCAAGGAGACAGGUGGUGCAUGGUUGUCGUCAGCUCGUGUCGUGAGAUGUUGGGUUAAGUCCCGCAACGAGCGCAACCCUUAUGGUCAGUUACUACGCAAGAGGACUCUGGCCAGACUGCCGUUGACAAAACGGAGGAAGGUGGGGAUGACGUCAAAUCAUCAUGCCCUUUAUGACUUGGGCUACACACGUACUACAAUGGCGUUAAACAAAGAGAAGCAAG